GACGAACGCUGGCGGCGUGCUUAACACAUGCAAGUCGAGCGGAGCGGCGAACGGGUGAGUAACGCGUGAGUAACUGCCCCCCUCUCUGGGAUAACAGUUGGAAACGGCUGCUAAUACCGGAUAGUGGGGGAUGACUCUCGUCCUACCAGCUUGUUGGUGGGGUAGUGGCCUACCAAGGCGAAGACGGGUAGCCGGCCUGAGAGGGCGACCGGCCCCAAUGGGCUGAGAUACGGACCAAACUACUACGGGAGGCAGCAGUGGGGAAUAUUGCACGAUGGGGGGAACCCUGAUGCAGCAACGCGCGUGCGGGAUGACGGUCUUCGGGUUGUAAUCCGCUUUCAGCAAGUACGCGGUAGUGGCAGAAGAAGCACCGGCUAACUACGUGCCAGCAGCCGCGGUAAUAC
rnacentral:rRNA from 1 species